CAGUGGAAUAUUCAAGGUGUUCAUUUCAUUGGUGAUUUACUUAACACAAAAUGCUGUUGCAUUCCAAACUCCAAAAAACUAGUGCAAAGGAAGGAGAAAACGACACAUCGUGAAGUUGCAUUGGAUCUAUCACCAACAACAGUGACAGGAACCGCAGUGUAGCACUAGCAGCAGAAACAGGAGCAGCAACAUCAAAAAUGAUAGCAUUGGACAUUUAAAGCCCCAAAGCAGGAUAUUGAUAUGAUGUCCUACUCUGAGACCACUUGCUUAAGACAGACAGGGUAUUGGCUAGCUACGGAGCUACUUGUUGCAUGGUGCCAUGAAUAAAACAACAGUUCAGCCAGAGCUGCUAGUGGACCAAACAAUGAUCUCACAGUACGGAAAUGAUAUCAGUGGUGAUGAUUCUUUUCUGGCCACAACUCAACAUUCCUGGAGAAGGUGCUCGCUCUGGUUGGAGGAAGAAAGGAAUGUUCGAGUUAUUAACGGCCAAAUAUUGUUAAGCAUCCAUCAUGUAUGCGGUGUGUUGAAACCAAUAGCAGAUUGUUGUCGUUCGUCCUUCAAUGUACAGGUAAUAAUAUACGUGGUACAUAUAUGUCUCAUUAUGUGAAGGAACUACGGCGUCACUUGCCGGCCAGCCCCAGCUACAACAAAAUGGAUCAUUGCAUGCAUUGGGCGCUCACAUUUUGUCCAGAAUAUAUUAUUGUUUCAUAUGGAGAGAAAGGCAGAUGGCUGUUUGCCUGUUACUCCGGCUGGCUAGAAGUCACGUUUCCUGGCGAUGGGGAUUCUGUUGAUCUGCAGCAACGUGCUUGCUGCUUGGCUGCUUGCUGCUAUAUAUGUCGAAAGUGCCCAAACUUUUGUGCAGGAAAUUCAUGAUCGUGUAAACUGUGAUUCUGUGAACGGUGUCUGCUUUUACAUUUCCAGUUCCCAUCCGCCAUCUCGUGGCUUGUGACUUGUGAGACAUGGACACCAGCAGCCUGCUCGGCCGCUCUCAGCAACCAGGAGUGGGAUCCUCAACCUCUACUGGACAACGACAACUAGAUGAGUCGUAUCUGGAGGACAAGAUACUGCGAAAGCUACAUGGUGAAAGAAAGAAGGUGGCUGUGCAUCUUCUUCAAAUUGCUAUAUUGAGUUUUAGACAGUAUGCUUAGAUAAUGCAACAAAACAUAUUAUUGUUAUAUAGUUCUGGUCCCCAAUCCCUAUUGCUUAAUUAA